rnacentral:rRNA from 1 species
UACGAAGGGGGCUAGCGUUGCUCGGAAUCACUGGGCGUAAAGCGCACGUAGGCGGGUCCUUAAGUCAGGGGUGAAAUCCCGGAGCUCAACUCCGGAACUGCCUUUGAUACUGGGGAUCUUGAGUCCGGAAGAGGUGAGUGGAACUCCGAGUGUAGAGGUGAAAUUCGUAGAUAUUCGGAGGAACACCAGUGGCGAAGGCGGCUCACUGGUCCGGUACUGACGCUGAGGUGCGGAAAGCGUGGGGAGCAAACAGG